GGGGCUAUAGCUCAGUUGGUAGAGCACUUCCAUGGCAUGGAAGGGGUCAGGGGUUCAAUUCCCCUUAGCUCCAC
rnacentral:tRNA from 1 species